rnacentral:rRNA from 1 species
UUUUAAUAUGAGAGUUUGAUCCUGGCUCAGGACGAACGCUGGCGGCAUGCCUAAUACAUGCAAGUCGAACGAGGUCCAU